UCUAAGGAAACCAAUAAAAUCAAUCAUCUUCAGUUUUGAAAGACUUAGGAUAACUAAGUUUUUCUUCGUGACUUCACGAAGGGCCUAUAGCUCAGUUGGUUAGAGCACACGCCUGAUAAGCGUGAGGUCGGUGGUUCAAGUCCAUUUAGGCCCACCAGAGUUAUAGGUGUCGUAAGAACACAAAUUCUUUGAAAAUUAGGUAAAUAAUAGUUAUUUUUCCGGAACAUUAAAGGAAAUAAGAGCGCACAGUGGAUGCCUAGGCACCAAGAGCCGAUGAAGGACG
rnacentral:misc_RNA from 1 species